ACAGCAGUAGCCGCGGUAAUGCGUAGGGUGCAAGCGUUAAUCGGAAUUACUGGGCGUAAAGCGUGCGCAGGCGGUUUGUUAAGACAGAUGUGAAAUCCCCGGGCUCAACCUGGGAACUGCAUUUGUGACUGGCAAGCUAGAGUGUGGCAGAGGGGGGUGGAAUUCCGCGUGUAGCAGUGAAAUGCGUAGAUAUGCGGAGGAACACCGAUGGCGAAGGCAGCCCCCUGGGCCAACACUGACGCUCAUGCACGAAAGCGUGGGGAGCAAACAGGAUUAGAUACCCCUGUAGUCCCUGUCUCUUAUAC
rnacentral:rRNA from 1 species